CGGCUGUGCGUCGAGCAUAUAAUUAACUAUUCUUUUGCUUUUUACUAAAGAAUACUGUGUGCUUGUUGCUUAUAAGCAGCAUGAGCCAUUUUUUGGAGGGAACUUCUUUUUUUUUUU